rnacentral:rRNA from 1 species
CAGUCGCCGCGGUAAUACGGAGGGGGCUAGCGCUGUUCGGAAUCACUGGGCGUAAAGCGCACGUAGGCGGCUAUUCAAGUCAGGGGUGAAAGCCCGGGGCUCAACCCCGGAACUGCCUUUGAAACUGGAUAGCUUGAAUCUUGGAGAGGCGAGUGGAAUUCCGAGUGUAGAGGUGAAAUUCGUAGAUAUUCGGAAGAACACCAGUGGCGAAGGCGACUCGCUGGACAAGUAUUGACGCUGAGGUGCGAAAGCGUGGGGAGCAAACAGGAUUAGAUACCCGUGUAGUCCCUGUCUCUUAUAC